rnacentral:rRNA from 1 species
UGCGUAGGCGGGGCAAUUAGUCAGUGGUGAAAUCCUGCGGCUUAACCGUAGAACUGCCAUUGAUACUGUUGCUCUUGAGUAUAGUUGAGGUGGGCGGAAUGUGUAAUGUAGCGGUGAAAUGCAUAGAUAUUACACAGAACACCAAUUGCGAAGGCAGCUCACUAAGCUAUAACUGACGCUGAGGCACGAAAGCGUGGGGAGCGAACAGGAUUAGAUACCCUGGUAGUCCC